AAUUCAACAGGUUAGGGGGUUAGGGGGAGAGAGAGACAGAGAGCAUCUUCAUCAAUCGACAAUGGCGGACGACGACUACAACGAUAUGGAUAUGGGAUAUGAGGAUGAACCUCCAGAGCCUGAGAUUGAAGAGGGUGCAGAGGAGGAUGCUGAUAAUAAUAAUAAUGAAGACAUUCCGGAUGCUAUCGAAACUGCAGAAAAAGAACAGGUGCCUGUGGAACGUUCUCGAAAGACUUCCAAGUAUAUGACAAAAUAUGAAAGGGCAAGGAUCUUGGGUACCCGUGCUCUGCAGAUCAGCAUGAAUGCACCUGUGAUGGUUGAGUUGGAGGGUGAGACUGACCCACUUGAGAUUGCGAUGAAAGAACUUCGUGAGAGGAAGAUACCCUUCACCAUUCGCCGCUACCUGCCUGAUGGAAGUUAUGAAGACUGGGGAGUUGAUGAAUUGAUUGUAGAAGACUCAUGGAAGAGGCAAGUCGGUGGUGAUUGACUAGUUCUCAUUCGGCAGCGAACAAGUGAACUAAUGAAAGUUCCAUGUGAUGUAUUUUUAGAACUUCCUACUGCAGACCUGAUUAGUUUGACCAGCAAUACAUACAUGUAUAGGAUGUUUGAGGUUGAUUUUGUGCCUCAAUGACUAUCCUUAAUUCAUGUUGUAGAUGUUUCUCUUCUUUUGGUUUUUGUAGAGACCUAUAAUGGGGUUGAUAUUAAUGGCCCAUGCUCAAUUCCAAUCCAUGGGGAAAGUUAGAAUGAAGAUAUUAGGAAGUGCUUGAUUUUGACAUGUUGAUGGAAGGAAGAGGGAAACUGCAUGCUGCCCACUGAAGGGUCCAGCACUUGUCGGUUUUCAUUGUCCUGUCUGCAUUAGGUGCUUUCGUCUAUGCUUUUCAUGUAUUUAUUUCUCGCGAAUGGGAUUUGUAACUCUGUUAUGUUGAUAGGGCUAAGUGGAGCCCUUUCUCUUA